AUUGAACGCUGGCGGCAGGCCUAACACAUGCAGGUCGAGCGGAUGAAGGGAGCUUGCUCCUGGAUUCAGCGGCGGACGGGUGAGUAAUGCCUAGGAAUCUGCCUGGUAGUGGGGGAUAACGUCCGGAAACGGGCGCUAAUACCGCAUACGUCCUGAGGGAGAAAGUGGGGGAUCUUCGGACCUCACGCUAUCAGGUGAGCCUAGGUCGGAUUAGCUAGUUGGUGGGGUAAAGGCCUACCAAGGCGACGAUCCGUAACUGGUCUGAGAGGAUGAUCAGUCACACUGGAACUGAGACACGGUCCAGACUCCUACGGGAGGCAGCAGUGGGGAAUAUUGGACAAUGGGCGAAAGCCUGAUCCAGCCAUGCCGCGUGUGUGAAGAAGGUCUUCGGAUUGUAAAGCACUUUAAGUUGGGAGGAAGGGCAGUAAGUUAAUACCUUGCUGUUUUGACGUUACCAACAGAAUAAGCACCGGCUAACUUCGUG
rnacentral:rRNA from 1 species